rnacentral:tRNA from 1 species
GGUGGUAAUAUUUUCACUUACAAUGAAAAAUACUUUAUUGAGCACUUUCAUAAAUUUAUUGACUUAUUA